ensembl:snRNA U2 U2 spliceosomal RNA
AUCGCUUCUCGGCCUUUUGGCUAAGAUCAAGUGUAGUGUCUGUUCUUAUCAGUUUAAUAGAUACAUGCAUACUCGAUACAGACACGGAUCGUACUUAGCAAUACAAAAGACCUACA